rnacentral:rRNA from 1 species
AACGAACGCUGGCGGCAGGCUUAACACAUGCAAGUCGAACGCCCCGCAAGGGGAGUGGCGGACGGGUGAGUAACGCGUGGGAAUCUACCCAUCUCUGCGGAAUAGCUCCGGGAAACUGGAAUUAAUACCGCAUACGCCCUACGGGGGAAAGAUUUAUCGGGGAUGGAUGAGCCCGCGUUGGAUUAGCUAGUUGGUGGGGUAAAGGCCUACCAAGGCGACGAUCCAUAGCUGGUCUGAGAGGAUGAUCAGCCACAUUGGGACUGAGACACGGCCCAAACUCCUACGGGAGGCAGCAGUGGGGAAUAUUGGACAAUGGGUGCAAGCCUGAUCCAGCCAUGCCGCGUGAGUGAUGAAGGCCUUAGGGUUGUAAAGCUCUUUCACCGGUGAAGAUAAUGACGGUAACCGGAGAAGAAGCCCCGGCUAACUUCGUGCCAGCCGCCGCAGUAA